rnacentral:tRNA from 1 species
UUAAUCAAUGAGCUUGAAAAUAAGCAUAU